rnacentral:rRNA from 1 species
GACAGAGGAUGCAAGCGUUAUCCGGAAUGAUUGGGCGUAAAGCGUCUGUAGGUGGCUUUUCAAGUCCGCCGUCAAAUCCCAGGGCUCAACCCUGGACAGGCGGUGGAAACUACCAAGCUGGAGUACGGUAGGGGCAGGGGGAAUUUCCGGUGGAGCGGUGAAAUGCAUUGAGAUCGGGAAGAACACCAACGGCGAAAGCACUCUGCUGGGCCGCCACUGACACUGAGAGACGAAAGCUAGGGGAGCAAAUGGG